CCUACGGGAGGCAGCAGUGGGGAAUAUUGCACAAUGGCCGAAACCCUGAAGCAGCGACGCCGCGUGAGUGAAGAAGGAAUUCUUUAUUGUAAGCUUCAUCUGCAGGGAAGAAAAUGACGGUACGUGAGUAUGAAUCCCCGUCUAACUCCGUGCCAGCAGCCGCGGUAAUACGUAGGGAGCCAGCGUUAUCCGGAUUUACUGGGUGUAAAGGGAGCGUAGACGGCAGUGCAAGUCAGGAGUGAAAGUCGGUGGCUCAACCACCGGACUGCCUUUGAAACUGUACGGCUGGAGUGCAGGUGAGGUAGGUGGAAUGCCUGGUGUAGCGGUGAAAUGCGUAGAUAUUA
rnacentral:rRNA from 1 species